UACGUAGGGGGCGAGCGUUGUCCGGAAUUAUUGGGCGUACAGAGCUUGUAGGCGGUCUGUCGCGUCUGCUGUGAAAAUCCGGGGCUCAACCCCGGACUUGCAGUGGGUACGGGCAGACUAGAGUGUGGUAGGGGAGACUGGAAUUCCUGGUGUAGCGGUGAAAUGCGCAGAUAUCAGGAGGAACACCGAUGGCGAAGGCAGGUCUCUGGGCCGUAACUGACGCUGAGGAGCGAAAGCAUGGGGAGCAAACGGG
rnacentral:rRNA from 1 species